UACGGGGGGGGCAAGCGUUGUUCGGAAUUACUGGGCGUAAAGGGCGCGUAGGCGGCCAUCUAAGUCAGACGUGAAAUCCCUCGGCUCAACCGGGGAACUGCGUCUGAUACUGGAAGGCUUGAAUCCGGGAGAGGGAUGUGGAAUUCCAGGUGUAGCGGUGAAAUGCGUAGAUAUCUGGAGGAACACCGGUGGCGAAGGCGGCAUCCUGGACCGGUAUUGACGCUGAGGCGCGAAAGCGUGGGGAGCAAACAGGG
rnacentral:rRNA from 1 species